rnacentral:rRNA from 1 species
UAAGCGGAGGAAAAGAAACUAACAAGGAUUCCCCUAGUAACGGCGAGUGAAGCGGGAAGAGCUCAAAUUUGUAAUCUGGUACUUUCAGUGCCCGAGUUGUAAUCUCGAGAAGUGUUUUCCGCGCCGGACCGCAUACAAGUCUGUUGGAAUACAGCGUCAUAGUGGUGAGAACCCCGUAACUGAUGCGGACGCCCGGUGCUUUGUGAUACACUUUCGAAGAGUCGAGUUGUUUGGGAAUGCAGCUCAAAUUGGGUGGUAAAUUCCAUCUAAAGCUAAAUAUUGGCGAGAGACCGAUAGCGAACAAGUACCGUGAGGGAAAGAUGAAAAGCACUUUGGAAAGAGAGUUAACAGUACGUGAAAUUGUUGGAAGGGAAACGCUUGAAGUCAGACUUGCUAUUUGGAGUUCAGCCGCAAGGUGUAUUCUUCAAUUUGCAGGCCAGCAUCAGUUUUUGGGGGUGGAAAAGGGUAUUGAGAAGGUAGCAGUUUCGGCUGUGUUAUAGCUCUUUACUGGAUUCAUCCUUGGGGACUGAGGAAUGCAGCGCGCUUUUUGCAAGGCUCUCGGGCUUUUCGCGCUUAGGAUGCUGGUAGAAUGGCUUUAAACGACCCGUCUUGAAACACG